GCGGACGUGGUGCACGGUGCACUGCUGCACUCACUCAGUUGACCCUGUACAGGUUUGGGCAGCAAUCCGGGGUUCGACUCCCCGCGUCCGCA